rnacentral:rRNA from 1 species
GACGAACGCUGGCGGCGUGCCUAAUACAUGCAAGUUGAGCGCUGAAGGUUGGUACUUGUACCCACUGGAUGAGCAGCGAACGGGUGAGUAACGCGUGGGUAAUCUGCCUUUGAGCGGGGGACAACAUUUGGAAACGAAUUCUAAUACCGCAUAAAAACUUUAAACACAAGUUUUAAGUUUGAAAGAUGCAAUUGCAUCACUCAAAGAUGAUCCCGCGUUGUAUUAGCUAGUUGGUGAGGUAAAGGCUCACCAAGGCGAUGAUACAUAGCCUACCUGGGAGGGUGAUCGGCCAAAUUGGGACUGAGACACGGCCCAAAAUCCUACGGGAGGCAGCAGUAGGGAAUCUUCGGCAAUGGACGAAAGUCUGAACGAGCAACGCCGCGUGAGUGAAUAAGGUUUUCGGAUCGUAAAACUCUGUUGGUAGAGAAGAACGUGGGUGAGAGUGGAAAGCUCAUCAAGUGACGGUAACUACACAGAAAGGGACGGCUAACUACGUG